rnacentral:rRNA from 1 species
GACGAACGCUGGCGGUAUGCUUAACACAUGCAAGUCGAACGAGAAGUCUUUUAUUGAACCUUCGGGGGAUAUAAGAGACAGACAGUGGCGAACGGGUGAGUAACGCGUGGGCAACCUACCUAUCGGAGCGGGAUAGCCUCGAGAAAUCGGGAGUAAAACCGCAUAACACGGAUAUAUCGCAUGAUGAAUCCGUCAAAACUCCGGUGCCGAUAGAUGGGCCCGCGUCUGAUUAGCUAGUUGGUAAGGUAAGGGCUUACCAAGGCAACGAUCAGUAGCCGGUCUGAGAGGGCGAACGGCCACACUGGAACUGAGACACGGUCCAGACUCCUACGGGAGGCAGCAGUGGGGAAUAUUGCGCAAUGGGGGCAACCCUGACGCAGCUUACCGCGUGAGUGAAGAAGGUUUUCGGAUCGUAAAGCUCUGUUAUUGGGGAAGAAGCAGUGAC